rnacentral:misc_RNA from 1 species
GUAUAUAGUUUAUAGGCACAAGGCCCAAUAAUACAUUCUGUUACAUUUUUAGGGGUAUGUGAAAAACAUAGGCCUGAACAAUGCAAGGAAAGCUGGCUUAACACGCACAGCAGUCCUCCCGACCGAGUUGCCUCGGAAAUUACUAUUCAGGUCUACAAAGGGUGCACAGGUGGAAAGAUAAAGAUGACGGGCGUGCACAUGUCUCCGAAAAGACCAGCUACAACCACAUCAAGUUCAUUCAAUAAUGAUCCUUCCGCAGGUUCACCUACGGAAA